AUGUCAAAGCGGGUGCUCCUGAGUAAUAAAUGCCUCCCCUCUGGACACAGAAAUUUGGAUUGUUUCCUGCAACAUGCUCUGCUGUCGAUGCCACAGAUGCAAGUGCUGGAAGGGACCAUGGAGACUGUUAUUUGCGCUCAGCCUGAGCUCCUCACUCCUUGGCAGUCUUCUAAAAACGAUGACCCAAAUCUUUGCAACUUGCCAAGUGUGAGCACUUUGUGGCAAAGAGGAAUGCCGCUCUCUUUGAUUCCCGCAUUCCUCCUGGUUCCCUGUGUGGGUGGAAAAACGGCCAAGAAUAGAAUCCUCUGGGACCCGACAUCAGCCGCAUUAAGCAGAGGAGCCUGGAGCCUUCGAACUCCCACUGCCUGAUGCUUCCUAUGUGUUUAGACUAGUCAUCCAGCAUUUCCCCAGGGUGUGUUUAGUCUAAUAGGUGAAAGCCAGGACCUGCAAAAAAGAGUAUUAGCGAUUCAAACGACCGCCUAUCCCCACAAAUAGAACAACGAACGGAAGAAAGAAAGCCAAUAAGAGGAUCAGCAGAUCAAAGCACUCCUGGCCAUCAACCAUCCAUCCCUGCUUAGUGACUUACAUGGAAACGCUUCCUGUCCUCGAGGCUGCUCUUCUGCACACCUCUGUGAGAUUUUUAAGCACUGGGAGGGCUUGUUUUUUCCUUGUGUUUUGCGAGUUCUUAUGCAAGAUUUUAUUGUUUGUUGCUGUUGAGCUUUUAGAAGAAUCUAAAGAAAAUUCCCCUGAUCCGAACAGAUUUGCUGUUUUGUAUGUGUAGCUGGAACUUGAGUGAGGGCACGCAGAAGGGCCACAUUCUUCUCUCUUAGGAGGUGCUAGCUACAAGGACGGCCUGACGGGUACAGAAGAGAAGGGCUUGACAUUCAGAGGAAUGCCUGAGAGCCUUGCCUGUCUGGUUUCAUCAUGGGUUUCAACUGAGUACUUGAAAAGGGAAAACGAGGAACAGAAUGAUCCAGAGCCCGAGGCUUCUUGGCUGCAAACAUCCCAAAUACUUGAACAAAUGAACACAAAAAUCAAGGGCAGCCUGUAAAGCAAAAUCACAGUACAGAUCUAUUUAAAGGCAGGCAGAAGAAAAAGAGGGGAAUUAUCUAAAUUAAAAGGAAAUGUUUCUAAUUGCAAACAAGAAAAGGGAAAACGUAAGGAUGGAAUAAAGAAGCCCAUCAGACUGUGUCUGGAGCCA
rnacentral:lncRNA from 1 species